rnacentral:rRNA from 1 species
CAUGUAGGCGGCUCUUUAAGUCACCUGUUAAAUUUCCCGGCUCAACCGGGAGUCUGCGGGUGAUACUGGAGGGCUAGAGUGUAAGAGAGAGAAGUGGAAUUCUCGGAGUAGCGGUAAAAUGCGUAGAUCUCGAGAGGAACACCAGAGGCGAAGGCGGCUUCUUGGUUUACAACUGACGCUAAAGUGCGAAAGCGUGGGGAGCAAACA